CCGCCUACUGUGUCAGUGGACUUCCUGUUGCCUCUGAGUCAAGAUGUAAGCACUCUCAGCUCCAGCACCACAUCUGCCUGCUGGACACCAUGCUUCCCGCCAUGAUGAUAACUGAACCGCUGAAACUGUUGAGAACCGCUGGUAUAAAGGGUUAUUCCAGGAGGACUGGAGAGAUGGCUCAGCAGUUAGGAGUGCUUACCAUGUAAUCAUAAAGACUAGACUUUGGAUCCCAGGCCCAGGACUAAGGUAACCAGAGCAUGUGGGCUCAUGUAUCACUCAGUCUGUUUGGAAGUCCACACUGUGCCUUCCCCAGCCAUGGAGCCCUGGGAAAUACCUUGUUCACACUCCAGAGUCUUGGCCUCUUCAUGUCUACAGUGAGAACGGUGGUACUUACCUGACAAAGUGGGAAGAUGGAACCAUGGCUGUUCAGUGGCUGCCACAGAACAAGGCGCUGAUCUGUGUGGGUGGUGAUUGUAAGUAGAUAUGGCUUUAACAUCUGUGGAAUGUAUGAUUGUGUUGUAGCCUGGAACUGCCACAAGUACCUGCCCAAACAGGAUAUAUUAACCUCAAUCCAGCUUUCCUUCUCUUGCCUUUCUUUUUCUGCUUCAGAAGAUCGUACCCAUGGCCUCACACGUGCUAGACAAGCACUGUCUCAACAAGCCACAAUCCCAGCCCCAGUUUAACUUUCUGCAUCACAAUCUGGCUGUGCCUCAGAGAAGCGGUGCAACCAAGACUUGAUUCUAGAUAAUUAUAAAUUUGUUUUGAAGACAGACAAAUAGAUUUUCUAAGUCGGCUGUGAAAUGGAGCCUGUCUGCAGACAGCUAAGUGGUGUGAGCGUAGUUUUGGCUGAUGGUGGAAGACCUAAAAGACUUUUGUCAUGUCCUGGAUACAGUACUUGGCUCCUUCAGGAAACUGGCAAGUGAUGCCUUGCUUUCACAUCAAGUCAGAGUCACGGCAUUUGUUUUCAUUCAUUAGCUCUGUGAUUGAAUAAGCCGUGACACGGUUCGAUGGAAAUGCAUUUAGCUGGGCUUAGCAGAGCAACAUUUUAAUAUCCCUUUGAAGACUGAUUUUUUUUUCACUAAGAGCAAAUAACUUUUCAUUUAUCCUAAUAUGAUCACCUCAGUCAACCAGAAGUUAUUUAGGAAACAGCCAGGCUGUAUGUCACUUUAUAAAAUAGGGAAAUUGAAUGUCUGACUGUAAGGGCUGUUGAGUGGUGCCUGCCCCAGCUGCUCUCCAGAGCUCUGAAGUCCUGGAUUCCUGGUCUUUCUCCGCUUGUGGUUAGGGAGAAGACAGAAGAAAACUUUCAUUUACGAAGGGACUCUGAAAGCUGAAAGCGUAUCCUGAUCAUCUGCUAGCCUGCUGUAGUCAGCAGUUAAACAAGUGUGAAGGAGACUAGAGGGCCAGGCCAGGAAAAGGAGGAAUGUAGAUAAGGGAUGCUGACUCUGAAUGGCUUGACAUGUCCAUCUCCAUAAAUGAUAUCUUCAUCCAUGAGGUGGCCAUGUGCAAUGGGGAAAGAUCAUGAGCUGGGCAGAUGAAGGCACUGAUUGCCUCCUCCUCCUCCUUUCUUUUUUGAGACAGGAUCUCAUGUAUCUUGCCGGGCUUGAACUAACAAUGCAGCCCAGGAUGACAAUGAACUUUAGUAAGUGUGUGUAGUGUGAGUGUAGCUAUAUGCACAGUGCCACAAGUACAUGAGUGGAGGUCAAAUGACAACAUUGGCUAUAGGUUCGUCCUCAACUUCUUCCUGUUAGAGGCAAAGUCUUCUGCCAUGCGCCACUGUGUGUGCCAGGUCUGCUGGCCUGCAAGCUGCUGGGGAGUCUCCUGACUCUGGCUCUCAUCUUGCCAUAAGCACACUGGGAUUAUGGAUGCACACUGCUCCAUCUCUUUAUUAUAUGGGUUCUGGGGAUCUGAGCUCUGGCCAUGUACCCGGCCCAACCAUCACAUUGUGAUCCUUUUGUCUUGACCUCUCAGAUGCUGGGAUGACAGGCUGGCUCCACCAUACUGUUUAUAUGGUGCCAAGGAUCAAGCCUAGGGCAUUUCGCUUGUUAGGCAAGAGUUCAAUUGUGCUACAACCCCAACUUCCUGAAGAAUACCUUUUUACACUGUCUUUUUCUCAUCUAUUUUUAUGCUUUUACUUUGGAAUCCACACUACCUACAAAUUCCAUCCAGCUUAUUUAUUUACUUAUUUAUUUAUUAUUGUGUCCAUCCUUGCCACACAUGUGCAUUCCAUGGUCCCUAUGUGGAGACCAAAGAACUUACAAGAGUCACUUCUCUCUUUCUGGUGUGUGGGGCCUGGGUAUGGAACUCGGGUUAUCAUGCUUGGCAGCAAGUGACUUUCCCCACUGAACCAUCUCUCUGGAUCCCACUUGUAUUUAUUUAGUCAACUGUGAAGAAAUAUUGUUGGACAUGGCCAUUUUAAAAAUUGAUAAUUAUACACCAAGUUCUUGUGAGAGUAAGAAGAAUAAUGUCUCGAAGGGAAGUAUGAGGCCCCACAUGACUGAGAACCUGAAAGAGGGUUGCAUUAGAAAUGAGGGAAAAUAGCAGGGUGUUGGUGGCACACGCCUUUAAUCCCAGCACUUGGGCGGCAGAGGCAGGUGGAUCUCUGUGUGUUCAAGGCCAGCCUGGUCUACAAGAGUUAGUUCCAGCACAGCCUCCAAAGCCACAGGGAAACCCUGCCUCGGAAAAAAAAA
rnacentral:lncRNA from 1 species